rnacentral:rRNA from 1 species
CAGCGUUUGACAUGGGACGUAUGGUUACCAGAGAUGGUUUCCUUCACUUCGGGUGGCGUCCACACAGGUGCUGCAUGGCUGUCGUCAGCUCGUGUCGUGAGAUGUUGGGUUAAGUCCCGCAACGAGCGCAACCCUCACCUUCAGUUGCCAUCAUUUAGUUGGGCACUCUGAAGGAACUGCCGGUGACAAGCCGGAGGAAGGUGGGGAUGACGUCAAGUCCUCAUGGCCCUUACGCGCUGGGCUACACACGUGCUACAAUGGUGGUGACAGUGGGUCGCUAGUCCGCGAGGACAAGCUAAUCUCCAAAAGCCAUCUCAGUUCGGAUUGCACUCUGCAACUCGAGUGCAUGAAGUCGGAAUCGCUAGUAAUCGUGGAUCAGCAUGCCACGGUGAAUACGUUCCC